AGCUGUCAAAUCUAACGGGUGUCCGUCAAAAAAUGUAAACAAACAAUUGCUCAAAAAUCAAUUUCUUCAGGAUAAAUCGAAAUUGGAUAUGUGUCUGCAGCAGUAAAAUGCAGUGUAGAGUGUGUUUGAAACAGGGCACAAGCGAUGAGGACGGACAAACGGCGUCACUUUUCCAAUCGUACAUAAAUGGCUUAACAAUCGGAGAGUUGCUGAACGAUUUGUUCGGUGUACAGAUAGCAGAAGAUGAUUCGUUUCCACAAAGCAUCUGCGCAAGAUGCCACAUCGAGCUGCAAAUGGUGUCGAUGUUUCGGGACCGAUUGCUAACCUCAGACAGCACUCUGCGCACAUCGGCCCAGCUGCACAGCGAUGGGACACUGUGUGCAGAAACGUAUGUCGAGGAAUCUAUCGCAUCGUGCACAGCAACGUCUGCUACGCGAGAAUCGUUGGAACAAGAUUCUACCACGAUCGAACGGCUAACGGCCUGUCUAUGUAGCGAUUGUGGGAAGCAGAUCGACGACACCGAACCGACGUAUCUGUUUCAGCAGAGCGGCUGUCCUUCGGGUACGAACACGGGUAGAGUGAUGUGUCAAGCAUGCUACCAGCGAUUAAACGACCUGGAAUGUAAUGCUGCUGAGCAAGAGGAACCUUCACUAGUCAUCGAUCUACUGCCCCUGGAGGCAUCAAAUCUUCGUUUCUGCUGCGUUACACACUGCUCUCAGAGCUUCACCGACGAACCAGCGCUGAUAAAACACGCGCAGGAAAUGCACGCAAUUAAGCUACGCAAAAAUCGCGAAAAUCAAGAGCCAGGAAGACCGUUCAAGUGCCACGUGUGCUUUCGAGCGUUUGGGUCGUCGAAGAAUUUGCGCGUUCAUCAGCUGGUUCGCUCGAACGUGCACAUCCGCAAUUUCGCGUGCAAGCUGUGCUGCUUCCGGGCCGGCAGCUCAGCAGCACUGACGAUCCACGAACGGACCCACACCGGCGAGCGUCCGUUUGCGUGCGAGCUGUGCGAAAAGCGCUUCUACUCGGAGGCAAAUCUGAAGUCCCAUCAAAUCUGCCACCGUGACGAGCAGCCGUUCGAAUGUUGCUACUGUGAGAAGCGGUUUGCUCGGAAGCGAAACAUGAAGGAGCAUCUGCAGCUGUGCCACUCGGAGGAGAAACCGUACCAGUGUGGUGAGUGUAGUGCCCGCUUUAAAACGGGCCAGCACUUACGGUUGCAUCAACGGUUGCACACGGGCGAGAAACCGUACGCCUGUAGCUUGUGUUCGAAACGAUUCUAUCACAUUUCGGACCGAAAGCGGCACGAGUUGUCGCACGUGGGAGCAAAACCGUUUAGCUGCGGGAUUUGUGGCGCAUCGUACACGCGCAAGCACGCACUGUCGAUGCACGAGCGGACGCAUACGGGCGAGCAGCCGUUCGGUUGCGCAGAAUGUGGAAGACGGUUUACGCAAGCUGUUUUGCUGAAGAGGCAUGUAGCGCGUUGUGGUCAUGGUGGAAAUCAUUUGGCGAGCAAACAGCAGGGCGGUCUGUCUGGUGAAGAGGAUUAAUCGCCGAAAAUAGAAAUUAAAACGUAAAAACGCAAAAGAAGUAUAAGUUUAUGUAGAAAGAUUAACGGCAUUCCCGUGAUAUUCAAAUGCAUGUCUUGGAACUGUCAUAGCUUUUGCACCGGGCAAUGGUAAUCAACUGUCAAACGGUUGGUUUGUUUACAUCCCAUUUGCAACUCCAAAAAAAAGGAAAGCAAAUUGCAAAACCGAAAGCAAAUCGGCCACGAAAUCAAGUUAAAAUGUGGAAUGAAGAUUUGAAUGUUUUCACGAAUGACCAAACACCCAAGCAGCCGGCAACAAAGGUAAAUCGAGCGAAGUUGCCGAAACGGGCGCGGAAUUUUAGUAAGGAACAGCUUCAGAAAGCUCUGCGUAAGAAAAAGGAAUGCAACGACAAGGCACAGCGUGUGGUGGAAACGCUUAUCGAGCCGGGACGCACGGAGGAUGAGCUGCUCACACUG